AUUGAACGCUGGCGGCAGGCCUAACACAUGCAAGUCGAACGAGUGGCGGACGGGUGAGUAAUGUCUGGGAAACUGCCCGAUGGAGGGGGAUAACUACUGGAAACGGUAGCUAAUACCGCAUACCAUCGGAUGUGCCCAGAUGGGAUUAGCUAGUAGGUGGGGUAACGGCUCACCUAGGCGAAGAUCCCUAGCUGGUCUGAGAGGAUGACCAGCCACACUGGAACUGAUACACGGUCCAGACUCCUACGGGAGGCAGCAGUGGGGAAUAUUGCACAAUUGGCGCAAUCCUGAUGCAGCCAUGCCGCGUGUAUGAAGAAGGCCUUCGGGUUGUAAAGUACUUUCUGCGAGGAAGCGUUACUCGCUGAAGAAGCACCGGCUAACUCCGUGCCAGCAGCCGCGGUAAUAC
rnacentral:rRNA from 1 species